rnacentral:tRNA from 1 species
GGGCGAUUAGUUAAUCGGUAUAAUAAAGGUUUCCAAAACCUUAGUGGGGGGUUCGAUUCCCUCAUCGCCCG